rnacentral:rRNA from 1 species
AGAAUGAACGCUGGCGGCAUGCCUAACACAUGCAAGUCGAACGAAGGCUUCGGCCUUAGUGGCGCACGGGUGCGUAACGCGUGGGAAUCUGCCCCUCGGUUCGGAAUAACAGCGAGAAAUUGCUGCUAAUACCGGAUGAUGACGUAAGUCCAAAGAUUUAUCGCCGAGGGAUGAGCCCGCGUAGGAUUAGCUAGUUGGUGUGGUAAAAGCGCACCAAGGCGACGAUCCUUAGCUGGUCUGAGAGGAUGAUCAGCCACACUGGGACUGAGACACGGCCCAGACUCCUACGGGAGGCAGCAGUGGGGAAUAUUGGACAAUGGGCGAAAGCCUGAUCCAGCAAUGCCGCGUGAGUGAUGAAGGCCUUAGGGUUGUAAAGCUCUUUACCCGGGAUGAUAAUGACAGUACCGGGAGAAUAAGCUCCGGCUAACUCCGCGCCAGCAGCCGC